UUCAACCGUAGAGGGGUAAAUCAGGCCCUUUUCCCUUAUUUCUUUCCCAGUAACAAAAGGGUAACAACCACCAAACGGGCAGAACCCUACAGCCCUAUGUACCAACGUACACCUCCAGCGGGUUUCAACAGUAACGGUACUUGUUUUUCUUUUGAAUUUGGCAACAAAAUGCUGUCUAGCUUCCUUGGUAUGUUUGGAUCUUCGAAAAUUUAAACGGUCCUUGGCUUCAUACUUGGGUUCUAUAAAUAGAGACCUUCCUCUUCAUUUUAAAGGGGGGAUUUUUUCAGAGUUCUGAGGCCAAAAUUUCUGGCCUUUGCACCUCAAAAGGUUUUUGAUACCUCUUAAGGGAAAGAAUACUUAGAAACCCGGCUAAGCCAUUGAGUUUCGAGGACAUUCUCGCUCGAAUAUAAUUUUUGGAAGUCGUUUCCGCUAGUCGGAAAUCGAUUCGUGUGAAAGAUGAUUCAUUGACGUUCGUUGCUCCCGUUGCUGCUCAAAAAAGGGUAAUCCUCUUUCUUUUUAUUUUAUUUUAUUUAUUUAUUUAUCUAUCUAUUUUCGGCCCUGUUGGUUUGAAUUUUGUAAAUGAAGUAAUUCUAGCUUUGUGUAGAAUAAGUUCUUGGAUUUCUUUUCUGUCGCUAUUGAAUAUCAUGUGGUAGUACGAGUUGUUUGGAUGAAAAUUUUAGUUUAUGUAAGAAACAUGACUGCUUUUCUGUUGCUGGUUUUAAACUGUUAUAACAAAGCCCGAAUGACUCCUAAAAGUGUUCCUACUUUUGAUAUACUGAAGGGGUAAUCAGGUGACAACCAAGUUUUCAAUUUGUUGAGUUUUAGAGAAUAUUUUGUGAAGAACUCUGCUAAGUUAGAUCAGUUUCUUCGAGUCGAAUAGUAUUUCUUUUUCUAGUCCCCUUCCCUGACUUGUCUGAGGAAAUAAAAUGACGAUUAACUUGGUUGUUUAAAGUUUUCAUUCUUUAUUUGAGGUGUUGACUUCUUCUAGAUUUCUGGGCUGAUAGAGUAGUGAGAUUCAACACUUUAGAACCAGAAUGCUCUGCACUCCUGUUUAACUUGAAACUUGGAUUUACCUCCUCCAUAUUACAAAGCCAUAAGCAUGCUUCAUUUAUUUGGUUCUGCCUAGUUCUUGUGUUUGAUCUCAACUGACCCUAGAAAUUUGUAAGUUCAUCAAUAUGAUAAAGUUUGUUUCUAUCAAAAUCAGUAAGGUUCAGCUUUGAGUUAAUCACUAUGUUGUGUUUUUUUUUUUUUUUUUUUUUUUUAGUUUAAUCAAUGUGUUGUUCCCUUUCUAUAUAUCUGGUUCCUUUGAAAGCCAGAUGGUAGCAGCUAAAAUGAUUUAAUUCCCUUCUCAAUACUCUUCUUUAACAAGCUGAUUUGUAAACUCGUUUGAGAUAUUUGCAACCCAAAGUGCUAGCCUUACUUGAGAAGAUAUGGACUGGUUAAGUUAAGACAUAAUCAUCCCUUUUCUUAUUUAUAUUGUGAUCUAAGCAUGCCCUUAGAGAUGUUGAGGUGACUUGAUAUGAAACAUGUUAUUUAGAUGAGUGAGUCUAGUGAGGCACUUAGAACAGGUUGUUUUUGUGGUCUGUCUAGACAUUUUUUGGGUCUGGCUGUCUUCAAACCAAUCCUAGAAUAGGAAAUGUUUUAAUUAAGUCAUUCCUUUAAGUUAUUUGAUGAAGUUAAGGUGGUUCAUACCUUUGUUUUGGAUGUUUAACCUCUUUUCUUGAAAAUGAUAUUUGUUGUGAUAUUAGUUAGUAUUGGGAAAAUUCCCUAUAUGUUAACUAUUGGCAAGAAUGUUUUGUAGCUCCCGCUUGUCCUUAGUGCGCUUAUUGUAGGCUGUGUGCUCACAUGACUUAGCCUGAUGUAUUUAAUAGACUGAUUUUUGCAAAGUAAUAAGCUUGAGAGAUUUCUUUUGACAUGAUUGAUAUUGUGAACCUCUUUGUUGUUGCUGAAAAUUGAGUACCUCUUUUUUAUGGCACAAAAUUGAGAACCCAAACUGAUUUGUGUACUUCUGAGAUGUUGAUCCUUGUUUGCCAUUCUCCUGUAAUGACUUGUGCUUAGCAUGCUAUUUUAAUAAGUUAAUAUGGUGAAUUAUUAUGAAGAAUGGAAUGUUCUUCUCUUGUGCUUAAGCAUUCCUUGGUCUGUCCACUAAAUGAAUCCAUAAGUGAAAACAUGUUCUUCCUAAAAAAAAAAAAUUUGAUUAAGUCCCCCUUAUUUUGGACAUACAACUUAGGGAGUAGCAGUCCAACACUGUUAAGGAUGAAGGAAAAGGAUUUUAAUUUGAACUUUGUAUGAUCAUUUGGCCACUAGUUUUAGUUCUUUAAAUUUGCAUAAGUUGUCCUUGCUUGUCCUUUACUAUUUGAUUAAAUCAAACCAAGUUAAUGAGAGAGUUCUGGGAAUUGCUUAAACUAAUUUGAGUAUGGAGAAUCACUGGAUUUUUAGGGACUCUUGGUUGGUGUGAAACUAUUGAUAAAUUGUGGCCCUGCUGGUAGCAGCCAUAAUCUGAGUGUUCAGUGAGGAUCAUGACCUUCCCUCUUUGUUGUGCCUCACCCAGCAUAAGCCUAUGAGUCUUCAUGAACCUGUGUCUUUAGAACAGCAUGACAUACUUGUUUAAACCAACCAAGUGCAGAGCCUUAGUCCCUUUUUUUUUUUUUUAUAAAUCUGAAAUAUGUUUACUCAGUGUCAGUCUAACUGUAUAGCAUGCUAAAUAGUUAAGGGAUGUGUGUUGAGACUCAGUUGUUGCAUAAGUUCUAUUCAAGAGUUCAGCAAAGAGGUGACACUAUUUUGUUACUAGUUUCCCUGGGAAAAAUAUACAAACAAAUGACAGUUUUUUUUUUAGAUUUAGAUUAAAAUUAGUUGUAUUUGAUUUUAAGAGUUCAUCCUUGCUUGUUUUAGGUUGUUGUGUGUUGCUUAAAUGACUUGAGUGUCCUUCAAAAACUAUUAGCUUGUCCACACAUGUUGAGAAUAGAAUCUGUACCUUAUAAGGGUUAUUAAGCAUGUUCUGUUUUAAUUCAUGGGCUGCAUUUUGUUCUUACAAAGUUUUGAUUGGUGGUUGAAAUUUCGAGGCAAGCUUUGGGUUCGGUUUAGCCUCCUCCGAUAACCAGCCAUGCCUAAGGUUCUAGAAAACCUUAUGAACUUGCGCGGCGUUGGAAGAUGUGGUGGUGGUAGCCCUCUUUGCUGUCCUAUCUUUUAACUCCUAUGCUUAGUCUAAUGGUCUAGAUCAAUCUUUAAGCUCAAACUACUCCAUAUGAUUCAACUGCUAAGCACUCUUUUAAGUUAGUUUGCUUGUUAAAAGAUAUGAAAGGCUUGGUACUCAUCCUUCACUUCCCCUUUUCUUUGCAUGACUUGGGGAAAUUUCCAAUCCCCAAAUGUUUCCUGAGUUACUGUUGAGUCUUGGAGAAAUCUUCUACACUUCUGAGGCCUUCUAAAGGAAGCUAAGAUUGGAUAACUAGUGCUUACUGGCUCGCUGCACUCAGAGCCAGAUGAAAGGUUCUACUUUUGAGUAAGUUUGCUUGCUGCUACCUGGUUCACAAUUGUGGCAUCUUAUGGCAAGUGAUAGCUGCAUUUUGAGGCAAGCAAGAUGUUGCAUCUUGAGCCAAAAAUGAUGCUGCACUUUAAAAAGCAAUAGAUACUGCAAUUGCUGCCUUGGUUUCUCGUGUUGCUGUCUCUUAGAAGGCUAAAACUGACAUCCUUUAUUGCACUGCUUGCUGUUUUGUUUCUAGACUACUAUGUUUACUUAUUGCGGCCUUCAAAUGCACAUUAUCCCUGCCAUCUUGGGCUGGUAAACUACUGUUUUUAGAGCAGUUGGCUGUUACAUAUAACUACUUUUAACUGCUACCUGUUGCUACUAUCUGGUUGUUGCUACAUAUCAGUCAGUUUUCAACUGUCUUUGUCCAAGAAAAAGGAGCAGAUGCUACGCCUGAGUUUCCUAUUUUAGUUGUCUCUGAUCAGUGGUUACACCUUGAUGCUAAGUUGUUAGCAUACUCUGUUGCUGCAUUUAUAAAACAGAAACUGAAACUACACUUGAGCUAUUGUAUUUUGUUGGUGCUAGUACAGUCCUUUUGAGCUCCUACUAUGGGCUGUUUUCAUUUGGUUGUUGUUUAUGUCUAUUGAUUAUGUGAGCCACAUGUUAUGGUUUAUAUGUUGCUGCACUUAAGAUCUCUCAAUUUCAGUUGUUUUGAGAUGAUCUUAUUUUAAGGCUGUUGUUGUUCUUUCAAAGCAGUAUUUUGGUAUCCACUGCUACCUUUUGCACAAAUGAUGCACUUAAGUUUUGAAUCAAUAGUUGUUGUUGCUACACUUGUGGCAUUUAGGCAGACAGAGGCUACACUUGGUGCUGCUAUACUUUGGUUUUGCAUUUGUAAAGUUGCUUGAUAGAACUGCAGUGCCUUUGAUUCAAAAAAUGAUCAAUGUGGCACUUGAAGUGUUCACUUGAUACCACUUGUUUGGUGCUGCAUUUGUCCCACUUCUAAGGCCAGUUUGUUGUUGCUAUCUGCUGCUAUCUUGCUGCUGAUACAAAGCCAAACUUAAGGACAUUUGACCUGAAUCAACUUGCUAUUAUGCUUUGAAACCUGGACUUCUGCAUUGUGAAACAAAAUAAAUGGCUGCUUCAUUGUGGCCAUUUAGCAUUUUGGCCAAACAAUCUUACUGAUAGUGCAUGUGCAUUUGGAAGAACAUAUACUGCCCUUGAGACUCAUCUUGUUAUUGCAACUUUAAAGACUGUUGUUGUGUGCUCAGUUGCAACACUUAGGUGAAAUAUUUUGCUGUAUGGUUUGGUCCAUUGUGGUUGCCUUUCUAAGAGUAACUUUUAUGGCUUCCUGGCAUUUUGCUUAAAAAUGAACUGUUUACCAUGCUUGGUCGAAAGAAUACUGAUUUGAACUGGAUACAAUACUUAGGGCCGAUGAAAAAGUAUUUAACUUGAGGCCACAUUUUUAAAAGAACAGAUUUCCAUACUUGAUGAAAAUUUACUGAUUUGAAUAGAUACUUAACUUGAGCAUGCCUAGUCCGGAAAGGUUAUCUCUCGGUUUAGGCAAUGAUGAUCUCACAGUGUUUUCAUGAGGUAGGAACCAACACGCGCUUGGCGAGACAACUAGAAUGACCAUUAGUUUGCAGCCACGACAUGAUUCGGGCUAGACCCGACUUAAUGAAUUCAAAUAAGUGGAAUUUCCUUCAAAAUUCGAGUUUGGGAAGAUAGUUCUGAGGAUAUGGUUGACUGAGGAGAUAAAAAUGUGGACAAUGUAUGAAUUAAAUAAAGGUUGUACCUAUACAUCUACAUAUAUAUUUUCCUUACAUACAAAUACAUAGCAUUAGUUUUAGAUGGACAAACUAUUUUUAUACGGAUAUCUUAAAUCCGAACUCAAAGUACACUUCCUUAAAGGGAAUUUGUUUAACUCUUUAAAAUCAAAAUGAUAUGCCAUGACAGUAUUUUUAUACAGGAAACUAAACAAAACAUAAGCAAUUUAUACAUAAUCACACAUUGAAGCUCGAAGGUUAACCGUAUGCUACGAAUUCUUAAUACUGGGGUGCCUAACACCUUCCUCAGGGGAUUACCAGAACCCUUACCUAGAACUUUGGAUUAAGAAGGAUUUUUCAUUGUGUAUCUUCAAAACUUGUUUUUCUAUUUUCUUAAAAAUUAGCUGGCGACUCUUUUAAAACAAAGUUCGAGCGCUAACCCCGCCUGCGAAAAUGCGAACCGUUACACGUGAUAUACUAGCGCCAUCUAAAUUUUAUAUGCAUUCCUUUGUUAUAUAAUAAUUACUUGGACGACUUGAGGUGUUAAGGCUAACUUUCCUUCUUUUUGGCAUGAUCCUUAUGAACGGAACGUAAUCGUAACGCUACUCUAGAAUAACUCUAUUCUUAGUAGCUAGGGAUUUUCCAUGUUGAUUCAUGAUCUAGAAUGUUUCUCAGUAAGUCCUUCAGAUUCAAUAUGAUUUAUAGAGUCCCUUGAUGGAAAUACUAUCUCAUAAUGAUGUUCGGAGGCGUAACGACCUUAUGUCACUCCGACAGAUUCAGAAUGUAUUCUUAUCAUGUUUAUUAUAUAUAUGUAUGGGGUAUGGGGAAGGUGACGGCGUUAUAUACGCACUACCACCUUAUCAACUGGUCACAUGAUGAUGAUGAUGCUCACAGAGGCCGAUAUAAUACGAUGGGAUGCCCAUAAAGGCUUGACAGACGUUAUACACACAUAUAUAUGUACAACUGCAUAGUAUUUAUGUAUAUCAUUGGCUCGCAGAGGCAGUUCAGACAUACAUGUUGCAUUCAUUUCGUCUUAUGUUCUCUUAUCUCUUUCAUGUUACUUUCAUGCCUUACAUACUCAGUACUUUGUCUGUAUUGAUGUCCUUUUCUGGAGGCGCUGCGUUUCAUGCCAGCAGGUACAGAUAGACUGGUUGACGAUCUGCCCUCGUUGGUUGCUGUUCAGCUGAUAGUGAAGCACUUCUCUUGUUCCGGAGUUGCUCUUGUGCUUUUGGUACAUUAUUCUUUUGUGUAUAUAUGGGUAUGAAGGGGCCCUGUCCCGACCUUUUUAUAUCAGAUACUCCAGUAAAGGCUUGUAGACAGUCAUGGUAUGUUAGACUUCAUAUGGCCCUUUGACCUAUAUUUUUGCUAGAUAGUAUUGCACGUUAGCCUUGUCAGCUUGCAUAGUUUUUGUCAGCUUUAGUUGCAUAUCUCUUAUACGAUUAAGCAAAUUUUCA